rnacentral:rRNA from 1 species
CCAAAAAUCUAGCUCCCCUAAACCUAAUGAACCUCCCACAAUUCAAAUACCAAAUAAAACAUUUUGUACAUAAAGUAUAGGCGAUAAAAAAAUGUCUAGAAGCAAUAGAGUUAGUACCGUAAGGGAAUGAUGAAAUAAUAAUGAAAAACUGCAAGCACAAAAAAGUAGAGCUACAACCUCGUACCUUUUGCAUCAUGGUCUAACGAGUCCAACCAAGCAAAAUGCACUUUAAGUUUGACCCCCCGAAACUAGGUGAGCUACUCAAAAACAGCCUUUAGGGCCAACCCGUCUCUGUUGCAAAAGAGUGGGAAGAUUCUUGAGUAGGGGUGACAGACCUAUCGAACCUAGAGAUAGCUGGUUAUUCAGAAAAAGGAUUUAAGUCCUGCCUUAAGGUUUUCCGUAUAAUCGAGCACUUUUUUAACCUUAAGAGUUAUUCAAAUAAGGUACAGCCUAUUUGAAUUAGGAUACAACCUCUAUCAA